UGCAGAAUCCCGUGAACCAUCGAGUUUUUGAACGCAAGUUGCGCCCUAGGCCAUCCGGCCGAGGGCACGCCUUCCUGGGCGUCACGCACCGAGUCGCCCCCACCCUCCCCUUUGCGGGGCGAGGGGGGAGCGGAAGUUGGCUCCCCGUGCCUCCGGGCGCGGUCGGCCUAAACCCGGGCCCUGGGCGGCCGUCGUCACGAUCCGUGCUGGUCGACACGUAUGCUGUCUAAAUCCGGAAACCGUGCGACGUCCUCCCGUCGGGCCGCAAGGACCCCUCAGAGGCGGACUUCCGCCUCCACUCUGCGACCCCAGGUCAGGCGGGGCCACCCGCUGAAUUUAAGCAUAUCAAUAAGCGGAGGAGAAGAAACUUACGAGGAUUCCCCUAGUAACGGCGAGCGAACCGGGAUCAGCCCAGC
rnacentral:rRNA from 1 species